rnacentral:rRNA from 1 species
UGGGGAAUAUUGGACAAUGGGCGCAAGCCUGAUCCAGCCAUGCCGCGUGUGUGAAGAAGGCCUUUUGGUUGUAAAGCACUUUAAGUGAGGAGGAGGCUACUUGGAUUAAUACUCUAGGAUAGUGGACGUUACUCGCAGAAUAAGCACCGGCUAACUCUGUGCCAGCAGCCGCGGUAAUACAGAGGGUGCGAGCGUUAAUCGGAUUUACUGGGCGUAAAGCGUGCGUAGGCGGCUUCUUAAGUCGGAUGUGAAAUCCCUGAGCUUAACUUAGGAAUUGCAUUCGAUACUGGGAAGCUAGAGUAUGGGAGAGGAUGGUAGAAUUCCAGGUGUAGCGGUGAAAUGCGUAGAGAUCUGGAGGAAUACCGAUGGCGAAGGCAGCCAUCUGGCCUAAUACUGACGCUGAGGUACGAAAGCAUGGGGAGCAAACAGG